UACGUAGGGAGCAAGCGUUGUCCGGAAUCAUUGGGCGUAAAGCGCGCGUAGGCGGCCCUGUAAGUCCGCUGUGAAAGUCAAAGGCUCAACCUUUGAAAGCCGGUGGAUACUGCAGGGCUAGAGUCCGGAAGAGGCGAGUGGAAUUCCUGGUGUAGCGGUGAAAUGCGCAGAUAUCAGGAAGAACACCCGUGGCUAAGGCGGCUCUCUAGUACGGUACUGACGCUGAGACGCGAAAGCGUGGGGAGCGAACAGG
rnacentral:rRNA from 1 species